rnacentral:sRNA from 1 species
AGCAGCCGCGGUAAUUCCAGCUCCAAUAGCGUAUAUUAAAGUUGUUGCAGUUAAAAAGCUCGUAGUUGAAUUUCGGGGUCAGCAGGUUGGUCGUGCCAAUGGUAUGCACUGGCCUUGCUGAUUCCUCCCUCUUGAUGAGCCGUAAUGCCAUUAAUUUGGUGUUGCGGGGAAUCAGGACUGUUACUUUGAAAAAUUAGAGUGUUUAAAGCAGGCAAGCGCUUGAAUACAUUAGCAUGGAAUAAUGAAAUAGGACGUUCGAUCCUAUUUUGUUGGUUUCUAGGAUUGACGUAAUGAUUAAUAGGGAUAGUUGGGGGCAUUAGUAUUCAAUUGUCAGAGGUGAAAUUCUUGGAUUUAUUGAAGACUAACUACUGCGAAAGCAUUUGCCAAGGAUGUUUUCAUUAAUCAAGAACGAAAGUUAGGGGAUCGAAGACGAUCAGAUACCGUCGUAGUCUUAACCAUAAACUAUGCCGACUAGGGAUCGGAUGAUGUAAUUUUUAAUGA